AACGAACGCUGGCGGCAUGCCUAACACAUGCAAGUCGAACGAGACCUUCCGGCCUAGUGGCGCACGGGUGCGUACCGCGUGGGAACCUGCCCUUAGGUUCGGAAUAACUCCCCGAAAGGGGUGCUCAUACCGGAUAAUGUCUUCGGACCAAAGAUUUAUCGCCUUUGGAUGGGCCCGCGUUGGAUUAGCGAGUUGGUAGGGUAAAAGCCUACCAAGGCGACGAUCCAUAGCUGGUCUGAGAGGAUGAUUAGCCACACUGGGACUGAGACACGGCCCAGACUCCGACGGGAGGGAGCAGUGGGGAAUAUUAGACGAUGGGCGAAAGCGUGAUCCAGCAACGCCGCGUGAGUGAUGAAGGCCUUAGGGUUGUAAAGCUCUUUGACCCGGGAUGAUAAUGACAGUACCGGGAGAAGAAGCUCCGGCUAACUACGUG
rnacentral:rRNA from 1 species